rnacentral:rRNA from 1 species
CACUCCUGCGGGAGGCAGCAGUGGGGAAUAUUGGACAAUGGGCGCAAGCCUGAUCCAGCCAUGCCGCGUGAGUGAUGAAGGCCCUAGGGUUGUAAAGCUCUUUCACCGGUGAAGAUAAUGACGGUAACCGGAGAAGAAGCCCCGGCUAACUUCGUGCCAGCAGCCGCGGUAAUACGAAGGGGGCUAGCGUUGUUCGGAUUUACUGGGCGUAAAGCGCACGUAGGCGGACUAUUAAGUCAGGGGUGAAAUCCCGGGGCUCAACCCCGGAACUGCCUUUGAUACUGGUAGUCUUGAGUUCGAGAGAGGUGAGUGGAAUUCCGAGUGUAGAGGUGAAAUUCGUAGAUAUUCGGAGGAACACCAGUGGCGAAGGCGGCUCACUGGCUCGAUACUGACGCUGAGGUGCGAAAGCGUGGGGAGCAAACAGGAUUAGAAACCCGUGUAGUCCCA